rnacentral:lncRNA from 1 species
UAAUGUAAGAGAGAGUUGGGUCAUGUUUAAUAAAAUUGAAAAAGUUUGAAUGUACUUACUUUAUUGUGGAGUCCACAAUUUGUGAUAAAAUUAGAACUUAAUUGUAUAAUAUUCUAUAUUUAUAUAGUAUAUUUUUAAUUCAUGUGAAAAAUAAAUAUAUAGGAAAAGCCAGACCAGAUUAAAAAAAGAAAAAGAAAAAAGCAGGCAUAGUCAUUCAAGUUGACUUUCCACAAACAAAAAAAGGAAUCAGCCUCGGAGUGGCAACCAAUCACAAUAGGCGCAGCGAUAAGAAAGUGCUCUCUUUUUGUGGGCCCACUUACGCUUGAUGUUAACGCCUACCUAAAAAGUCUUGUGGUGGCAUCGAUUCCCCCACAUGAAGGGGUGGGGUAAGCUUUGAAAAAUAAAUAAAUAAAACUUCAGGUGCAAUUAAAAGAAGUAGUCCGACGAAUUAAUUAAUUUAUUACUCCGAUAAACGUGUCAGAACUAACUGGUCAGUGGAAUCCACUAUAUAAAAAUGAAAGUACCACGGAAAAGUACCAAAAUAAUACUAGUCCAGCAGAGAGACCUACAAAAAGACGCAAUUAGGCAUCUCAUCCUGCUACUAACCAACUCCAAAUAUACUCCGCUACAUUAAUUAUAGGAUAGGAUAGGUUACAUGAUAGUAAUAUUAUUAUUAUUUUUACGUCGGUCCAAGUAAGGUCACGUUAAUUCUUUUUAGGUUAACUUUUCACUGGUUAGAGUCCAUUUAGGAGGGAGGGGUAGUAGCCUAAUAGGUAGUUUUAAAAAUAUUCGAAGAGAAAAAAAACUAAAUAAUGAGAUUAGUGGAGGAAAAAAAAUAAUAAUGUUACGGACACCAAUCAUAUACAAAAAAAUAUGUGAACAAAGAAUAUGACCUAUAAUAAAAUAUUUUAUACAUUUUUAUUGAUAAAUAAUAUUUGGAUCUAUUCUUUCUUAGUAGUAUUAUCAAAAAUUAAAUUAACCAAGAGUCCAAUACCUAUUUAUGGAUAGAUAUGAGUUAAUUAAUUUAUUAUUUUAGAUUCAAAACUGAUAUUAAUUCUAAUAACUAUUAGUAAAUGACGAUAUUUAUUACUAGUAUUUCUAGAUAUGGACUGAUAUAAGAGUUCAUUUUUAUAAAUAAAAAAAGACGUCAGAGUAAUUAGUAAUUUUAUUAGAACAAGUGGAGGUAGAUUCAUAAAUGUUGGUCAACUUUUUCUUUUCUUUUUUGUCAACCUUACCGUGGCCAGCUAUGGUAUACAUUUAAUUGUGAAGGGUAAUUUGGGUAUCCUACUUGUUAUUAUUGACGUAAAGAGAGAGAUCACAGAAUCUCUUAUCAAGUUGUUAGCAUAAACAUGUAAAUUAAGCAACAUAUUAAAAGUUUUACGGAGAUGAAUUAGCAGUUUGUUAAGUAGUAUUUCAAUUCGGGUUAAAUAAUUACAAAAAUAUCAAUCAAUAUAUAUAUAUAUAUAUAUAUGUUUAUUUUACUAUGACAUUAAUAUUAAUUAACGAUUCAAAAAAAAUAUACGUGUACAGAGAGUAGUGUAGCUGGAAAUUUCGAAGUAGUUGAAAACAAGAUAGGAAGGAAAAUGAUGAUUUACAUGCGGGGAAAAGUAGCAAAGUGGAAAAUAAUUAACGACAUCAGAUAAAUGAUUAAUUGAACAAAAUUGAAAGUAAAGUAAUAGCCAGAUCUCAAAUCAGAAGAAAUCAUUUUCUCAAUGGUCAAACCCAAUUAUAGAAAUUUUCAUAGGAAUGAGGAGGAGGAGAAUAAUAAGCAGCAGCAGAAAGAGUACUGUUAGUAGAUUAAUUAAGGAGGGAGGGGGGUAUUACCAGAUCAACAGUCUCAUUUUUGAUCUCUUCAAGACUAAUACCCAUGAUGAUGUUUGGUACCGACAAAAACCACCACCACCACCACCUUCAGUAAGAAAUGGAUGGAUCGAGUACAGAAAGUGGAUAUAUAUUUAUAGGCCCGAGUAGAUCACCACCGCCAGCAUCAGGACUUGAAUGAGGAGAGAGGAAGAGAUUUAGAUAGAGAUAGGGAGGGAGAGAGAGCGCUAUUGAUUCAUUGAAUGAAUUUUCUCAAACCCAAGAAACUUGUAUUAUAGGAUGAUGAUGAAAUCAAAUGAAAUGAAGAAGGGUUUGGUUUGAGGUACCCAGCUUUACCAUCUGACCCUCUUUAUAUACCUCACCAUCCUCUCUCUNNNNNNNNNNNNNNNNNNNNNNNNNNNNNNNNNNNNNNNNNNNNNNNNNNNNNNNNNNNNNNNNNNNNNNNNNNNNNNNNNNNNNNNNNNNNNNNNNNNNAAAUAAUUUUUUUUAAAUAAUAAUAAUUUUAUAAGGGCACGGGAUGCGUGCUUCUGUGAAUCGGAAGGGUAAAAGAUUUUGAAGUGUAGGCGUAUUUAAUUUAAUUUUAUAUCUAUCUAAGAGUAUAUCUAAUCUUAUCUCUCUCUUAACCGGUGAC